CCCCCGCCUCCCCCCCGGGGUGCUCGGUGGUAGGGGCGGGGGGCGCGGUGCGGAGGAGAGGGCACGGCAGGAAGAGGAGGGUAGGGAGGAAGGAAAGAGAGCAAUUGAUUAUUUCCCUGGAGACGUUUUGGAAAGCCAGAAGAGACAAAUAAAGUCAUUCAUGUUUUUAUAAGUCAACAAUUGAGCAAAAGGUUCUUGUAGCAAACCUACCUGGCUUUUCUCAAAUAACAUAAGGUUCUCAUAGGACUACACAUGUGCAUCUGCACCAAAGACUGCUGGAUACUUGUCCCAUUACUCAUUGUCCCCAGUGCUGAAGGUUGCUAUGUUGCAGAGAUGUUCUUGCAGAGGGCUGUUCCACUGGCAUCUUCAGACCGCAGGCAUCCUGCCCUGCAGCCAUGUAAAUUUUCCAACAUACAAAUAUUCAUCGCUGUCUUUUACAUUCCUCUGCUGACAGUGAAGAGGUCAUGCUUAAUCAAACUGAUGGAGAAAACCGGACAUAAUCUUUACCUAGGAUACCCACGUUAAUUCUACCAAAACAAGAGGUGGGGGAACAGAGAAGAAUAAUUUGCUUUUGUAUAUUGCCGCUUUUAGGUAUUCCAUUCAUCAUGUUGGUAUCGUAUUCAGAGUGAGCCAAAGAAAUAAGUACCUGCUUAGGACAUGAGACCUCAGGGGCUUGUGGCUUUUUUCUGCUCCCAGCAGUUUUCCUUCCAGCCUAAUUAUUUCUUCUGAGAAUGGGUUUCUGAGUCCAGACUUUAUCAUAAUUUAAUUCUUUUCCCUGCUGCAGGAGAGGAAUCAAGCGGGAUAAAUUCUGUGUCCAUAUGCUCCUCCAGCUUUGAGUCUACUGAUUGAAGUGUUUUGUUUAUUAUAGAUGCUGUUUUGAUGAGGGAAGAAACCUGACCUAGUACAGUCAAAGGAGCUCCAUUAGUGGCAGAACCAGCAAAGCCUGGUUUUCCAUAGGUUAGUGUCUUAUAGUUUCAUGGUGAAUUACAAUUGUCUCUUUUUUCCCAUAGCAGUAUCUUUUGUUAGAUCUCUCUCCCAUGUGGAUUCUUUAAUGUUUCAUAAGGUUUAAAUUCAUGUUGCAGCCUUCCCCCCCCCAGUUCGGACAAUUUUAGAAUCUCUUUCUUCUCCUAGAUUUUUUUUUCUACAAAGAAUGCUGAGAUUUUGAGAGCUCUCUAUUGAUACUGUAUUUGAAAUUAAAGAAAACAUUAACUGGAAACCCAGUGUGUGACUACACAAACUUCAGCGUCCUAGCAAACCAAGGAAAAAUGGUAGUAUCUUGCUAGGUAUAUUGCCUGAUCUUGGUCUAUGUUUAAGUUCAUUCCUCCUGAGAGAAAUAAGUUUGGAUUACUAGUUAGUGCCAUUCAUCCACUAGAGCUACUGUCGUCAAUGGGAGAUGUUCUGGCUUUAUGAAGCAUCAAAGAAUGAUUAUGUGAACUCCUAUUAAAAUGACAAAUUUCCUUCCAGUUCCAUUUCCAUUAGAGUCAAUUGUAAGUCACUCAUUGCCUUCAAGAAGAGCUAGAUUUCCUUUCGCAACUGUAAUCAGUACUCAGAGGUUCGGGCAGUCUUAUUGUCACCAAAGUGUCUGUUAAUCACUGCUAUAUAAACCAGAGAAGAUUUGUUCCCAGUUCCAAUUUCAGUUCACAAAUAUCUGUGUAUGUGUGUGUGAAAUCAUAUAUUUGUAAACUUGCCUACAAGAAAGCUGGGGAGGGACUUCUUACAAGGGCAUGUGGGACAGGAUGAGAGGAAAUGGCUUCAAAUUAGAAGAGGGAAGAUUUAGAUUAGACAUUAGGAAGAAGUGCUUCACUGUGAGGAUGGUGAGGCACUAGCACAGGUUGCCCAGGGAAGUUGUGGGUGUCCCAUCCCUGAAGAUGUUCAAGGCCAGGUUGCAUGGGGCCCUGGGCAGCCUGGUCUGUUGGGAGUUGUCCCUGCGCAUGGCAGGAGGGUUGGAACUGGAUGAUCUUUAAGGUCCCUUCCAACCCAAACCAUUCCAUGAUUCCAAUGACCUCUGUGCAUUAUGAUGAUAUAAUACACAUGUAGUUCUAUGAUUCCAUCUGUAAUAGAUUCUCUUUUAAAAAUUAAAAGUGCGCUUCAGAUAAAUGGAAGGUUAAAUUCUAACAUUCUUAGUGUGUGCAUGAACUUCUGUUUACUUGGAAAGUACAAUAUUAGUAGAGUACUUCUCACUUUAAAGUUUAUGAAUUUCUUUCUUCUCCUCCUUAAUUCUUUGAGGUGUCAGUACUGAGAAAGAUGAAUCAUUUAUUAGUGGGAGGCCUGACACACGAUGAAAUCACUAUCUGACACUUCAAUGACUUCCAGUGUUGUUCUGUGAACAUUCAGCAAAGCACAGAUGAUGUGAUGUUGCAGUUCUGUGGGUAGUCUUUUCUUCUUUUUGAUUUGUGUUUUUGGGGAUUUUUUUUUCAAAUGGAUAAAACGCUUUAUCAUCAUAGUGUGUGAGAACUUCCCCAUUUGGUAUGAAUAGCCUUUGCCUAUUAUUAAGAGUGAUUCAAAAGCUCUGGUAUAGGAAAAAAAUAGAACACAUCUGCAACUCGCAGAGAAGAUAUUUGUUUCUCCUGAGAAUCAGUGAGAAAGCAGAACUCAACCUAAUUUUUUUUUUUUGGGGGGGGGGUGGAGUGGAAUAGAUAGCAUUCUUGGCUUGAAUGUUAAUACACUUUGGAGCAUUCCUUUUAUGACAGAACAUGCAAAUCUCCAUUAUGUUACAAAUUAAGUGCACCUAAGUGGCAGUUCUGUGCUGGCCUCUGGAUUACCCCCUGAACAGGGCAGUGAUCUCAGCUCAGGAGACAUUUAGGGUAGAAAGUGGUAUCUGACAAUAAAGCAAUUGGCAAUAAACAACUGGCUGACAACAAGCUGAACAGUUUUAUUUAUUUAACAACAACAAAAAAAGUAAUUUUAGUUCUAGCAUCUUCACUCCGGUAAGCAGUUCUGCAAGCAUAUAGGUUAGACUUUUUGCUUUACUGAACUUAGCCCUGACUGCAUUUUUCUCUCUUCCCAGUAUAAAUGUUUUCAAUUUGCUUUCAGCCCCUCCAGCAAACAUCACAGUAGUUUCAAGCUACUAAGAUAUUUUCUUGCCUUACACACUUUAUAAUCUGAGCAAUGUUACUCCCGCUCCUUUCCCAGGCCACAUCACUCAUCCAUUCAGAUGUGCUGCAGUAAGUGAAAUGUCGCAGGCUGGGAACCUAUAGGUACAGACUUGCCUCCAAGUACCAAGUCUGGCAUUUAAAAGGUGGCUUCAGGGUUUUCUUCUAACUUAACUGGUUUCUCCCUUUGUUCUCUCAGAAACUCAAGUGCUUUUCCCAGUGAAUCCAGUCUUUCUUCUCUCAUUCCUUGAACUUGUGAUUUUUUUCUCUCCUAAUUGCUUUAUGUGGUCCUCAUCACUGCCGUCUGAGCCUCUCCCAUUUCUACUGUGUCUGUCAUCAUGAUACUUUGCAGCAUAUACUUACUCUUCAGAGAUAUGUGUGGGUCCAGCGGAACUAAGUACUUGUGAAACUAAGGUGAUCAGGGAAGACUGUGGAAGAGUUAGCAAGUAGACUCACCUUCCAAAUAAAGACAUGAGGCAUAUCUUGUGCGAUAUUCUCCCUCUCUAGUGGCUAAUCUGGGUAUCCUUGUUUUUGCCCUCUGGAGUUUUGGCUCUAAACUGUUCCACAGCUACCACUGGAAAGAAGCAGCUGACCUUUGAAGGCAGUGAAACUGUCUUAAUUACAUGUUUGCCAUUGGAUAUGGUGUUCCUCCCCAUCUCUGAACGUGCCAGUCUGCACGCAUCAGAUGUGAUGAUGUGUGCAAACAAGUCAGCAAGUACCAAACGACUUUGCUUACUGUGUUACUACUCCAGAUCUGAUGAAAGCCUCGUAAACUUCAGAAAGGGGGAGAAAUUAUUUCAACUGGCAGUCCAGAUAGACUUUGAUGUGGCCCUUCUACCAUCUUUCCUUGGCAUCUCUUUGUAUUAAAAUUAUCUGUCACACGGGGUUUGUAUCACAGUAGUUCAUCACAACUUGCCAGAGUGCCCUGGCUGUUGUGGGAUGCCUGGGAGCUUGGCUUUGCCCCUGAAAGGGAGCUUCCCCAACUCAACAAUGAGGGGACCGCUCAUCAAUGCUUGUUCUGCCACACAAAUGCAGAAACUCCCAGUAGGUUUCAUAGAUGACACAAGGCCAUUUCCUUAAAACUCUCCUCAGGUGUAUCUGAGGAAAUGGUGGCCCAUUGUGAAAGGAGGCUGUCCUACCCUUCUGAUCUGACAAAGAAGCUCUCUUUCUGACCAGUCCCAAUCUUGAGCCAGGCAGAAAGAGCUAGAUCAGCAUAAGCAGUUUAAAUAACAGGCAUUGGCUAGGCCAGCCUAGAGAGUGGUUCCAAGAUGGUUUAAGCUGAUCCAAACCAGAGCUUCUGCAGCCUGGCUUUGUAUCAUGUAUAUCCCCACCCCAGCUCUUGCACCAGCAUCUGUGCUUGUUUAACUCCACAGGCAUCUGAAUUGGCAGGAGGCUGUACGAUUUUUCUUGUUAGUUCUGAUUUUUUUUUGUUAUUUCGAUGUCUUAUGAAACAGUUCAGCGUGGGACCAGACAGGUUUCUUUGCUGGCACAGGAAAGGACAGCAGCUGGGGAUGGACAGCAGCCGCAGUUUAGAUCAGAUUAGACUGUCACAGAACCACAGUCUCAUUCGAGAAUGCACAUGAGCAUCUUUGGGAGAUUUGAGGGGACAAUACCCCCAGGCAGGAGGAGGGGCAUUGCGAUAGUAAUCUCUCCCAGUAGCACAGCUCAUCCAGAGAGAGUAUUUGUCUACAGUCUAAAAUAAAUUAAAGAACUCUCUGAACACAUUUAGAAGACUUAAAGUUUGCUGACACUGUUCUGUAAAAUGAGUUAAUUUAACAUAGGCUUAAGAGACGAGUUUUUUGUUUCCAUCCCUCCCCCUCACAGCUCACCCCAUCCUCUUUUUGCAAGCCAUAAGAUAUCCUUCUGCCCUGGCCCUGUUAGGUCAUGGUAUGAUGGGCACCAUGCCAAAUGAAGCUGAGCUUAUAAGCUGCUACUGCCCUGGUUGCUACUGGGGCUGUGUGCGUGGUUUUUAAUUCACUUCUGUGGUGCCCUCAUUUUUUCCUGCCCAAGUUUGAAGUGGGAGUGUGUUUAGCUGUGAACUACAUUGCUGCAAAUUCAUGGUCUAUUAGCACCCUUCCAAAGCUCCCCUCUCUGUUCUCUGAAGAAUUAGAACACAGCUAUAAAAAUAUCACUCAAGGCUAUCGCACUGUGUCAUUAUUUUGGGCUUUGUUUUUAAAAUUAUUGCUAAGAUAGGUUUGUCUGUGUGCUUGCUUGCUUUCCCCAUACCGUAUUUACAUUUGAAAACUACAGCAUCUGUAAUAAGAUACUGAUGAACCUAAGGCAGAUGUGACAACGUAAUGUGGAUAGUGCAUAUACAAUUUGUCAAGGCAGACAAAAUAACCCCACCUUGGGCAAUUUUCAAAAGAACUAUACUACAGUACUUGUCGGGUCUGGGUAACUACUCCAUAAACAUAUUACCUGCUGGCAUACAAAUAUCACUUUGUAUAAGGUAGUUACACAGUAAAAGAAAAGGGAGAGGCAGGACAAAAACACUGAUCUUGCAGAGUCCUACAAAAAGCCACGAUCUCAUAUAGAAAAAUGCUAAAAUAAAAUAAUUCUUAUUCAGAGGUAACUACAUUUAUAAGUAAACUAUCCACUCCUCUUGAUUUGUAUUUCUUUUCUAAUUAAAUAUGUGCUGUUAUUGAUAUAGUUUGGGAAUAUGCACACAAAAUUAGGCAAAUACUUCAGAAUUACUGCUGCUGUUUGGAUGCACAUUUUAACAGGAAUAUCUUGCCAUGUGAAAUGACUAAGAACUUCAGAAUCACGAUUUAAAUCCUGAAUUACCACACACUAUUGUAGUAGGUAGAAUUUUUAUAUUAUCUAUUUCUACUAAAUAUUUUUUGUCAGGAUACGUCCACAGAUCUCUUAAUUUAUCUGUCGUUGAAACAAUGAAAGAAUGAUAGAGGGCAGGUGAAUUGUGCUAAGACUCCACAAUGCUUACCCACGUAUAUUUUUUUCUAAAAUGUGAAAGAGAAAAUGAUAGAUUUCAUGAUAUACUUUUCCAAAAACAGACAGUUUUCAACACAACUUCCCAUGCGUUUAUAAUACCAGUUUGUGUACAGAGCUAUGAAAAUGACAUCUUAGAAAUCAAAGGGAGCAGACAGAAUUGCAAUUGGUAAACUCAGAACCACAUUGUUUACCUCUGUGAUCUUAAGUGGCUUUCCUUUACUAUUUCACUGGUAGUUCCCAGGAGCAUGGGUGUGCUUGAUCAUGAGUCCACCAUCUCCAUCUUCUAUACUGGUAGCAGUCUGAUUUUUGACUACAGAAAGCAGAAUCAUUUACUGAAGUGUGGGGAAUAAUGUAGGAACCCUUAUGUUAGUUCUGGGAAUAUGUUGAUUUGACUUGAUAGUGGCCCUCUGGAAGAGGAGCCAGUCAGCCAGCCAGCCAAACCUCCCCCCAGAAAAGGCAUAGGAAAGGAAUACUUGAGAUAAGGUAUUCAUUUGUCACCUGAGAGUUGUUAAAACAAUGGCAGCACACCGGGCUAUGAGCACCUUGCCUUUGUCUCUUGCUGAGCCUUUGAGACUGCCUGAGUUAAAAGGAUAAAAGCCCAGGAAGUCGCAAAAAAAAAAAAAAAAUUAAAAUAAAAAAUUGAAUUUGGCAAAACAGGAAUCACUCCCUUUCACAACCCGAAGGAACAAGGUUCAAGAAUAUGCUCCAGGUAUAUGAGGAAGUUCAGCAAUACUAGUUAGCCAUCAAAGGAUUUCACAGAGAGAGGGCUUUGUGUAGGCUGUAAUUUAAAAUGUUAUUUGUGUAAUUUCCAGUUGUUGUAGUCAAUGAGGCUUUUCUUUUAAGACGACUGUAUCAGUGCCUACUAUAUCUGAGUAAGAAAAAGGAAAAGCUUGGCUUCAGGAAAGGUUUUCAUUUUGAGUUGGGGAAAAACACAUUCUGAAGCUGGAAUAUCUUUGUCUGUUUGUAUAUUCUGUAACGCUACUCUGCUAAAUAUGGAACCCUUUCCACACCUGGCAUGCCUGGCAUUUUCAAAAAUGAAACGCAGCUUCCUGUUGUGCACCGGGCAAGAUGAUGUGGAGCCAGAAGAGCCAGGAAGCCUGGCAUCUUUAGUCUCUGGCUAGAGUGUUUUGAUGGGAAAUCAUUCUGUUGGAAAAUUUCUGCUAGUGCUUCUGGCUGCACAAUCCCAGAAACAGGACUGUAGGCUGACCAGUGAAUUCUGCUUUGCAAGAAUGGCUAUUGCACCGGAACUCACUGUGUAUUAUUCUUUGGUGGGUAAAAGAUGAGAAUUAGAAGGAAAGCAGACAUCAUUCAGCAAUUCUAACCAAAGUAUUUUUCUUUUAAUAAAUA